rnacentral:rRNA from 1 species
UACGUAGGGGGCUAGCGUUGUCCGGAAUCAUUGGGCGUAAAGAGCGUGUAGGCGGCCCGGUAAGUCCGCUGUGAAAGUCGGGGGCUCAACCCUCGGAUGCCGGUGGAUACUGUCGGGCUAGAGUACGGAAGAGGCGAGUGGAAUUCCUGGUGUAGCGGUGAAAUGCGCAGAUAUCAGGAGGAACACCAAUUGCGAAGGCAGCUCGCUGGGACGUUACUGACGCUGAGGAGCGAAAGCGUGGGUAGCAAACGGG